AUUGAACGCUGGCGGCAGGCCUAACACAUGCAAGUCGAGCGGAUGAAGGGAGCUUGCUCCUGUAUUCAGCUGCGGACGGGUGAGUAAUUCCUAGGAAUCUGCCUGGUAUUGGGGGAUAACGUCCGUAAACGGGCGCUAAUACCGCAUACGUCCUGAGGUAGAAAGGGGGGGAUCUUCGGACCUCACGCUAUCAGAUGAGCCUAGGUCGGAUUAGCUAGUUGGUGGGGUAAAGGCCUACCAAGGCGACGAUCCGUAACUGGUCUGAGAGGAUGAUCAGUCACACUGGAACUGAGACACGGUCCAGACUCCUACGGGAGGCAGCAGUGGGGAAUAUUGGACAAUGGGCGAAAGCCUGAUCCAGCCAUGCCGCGUGUGUGAAGAAGGUCUUCGGAUUGUAAAGCACUUUAAGUUGGGAGGAAGGGCAGUAAGUUAAUACCUUGCUGUUUUGACGUUACCAACAGAAUAAGCACCGGCUAACUUCGUG
rnacentral:rRNA from 1 species